rnacentral:rRNA from 1 species
AUGCGAGAUUGUUGGCAUCACAUCGAGAAGAAACUUGGUGACCAGUACCCGCCACUCCAUAGCGCAUGUUGCAAUACAAUAAGAGAUGCGAAAGACAUCCACUGCAUCUGUGAUCGGUUCACCGCUCACGAACUGACUUUGCUCAGUCUAGCCAAGUUUGCCAUGGCUACACAUGUAUGCGGCAAUGGGUUGCACACAGACACUCACUGUGCAGGUUGGUAUAUUGUCAUAUUUGCGCGCGCACACACAAAUAAAACUUUAUAUAAUUUCUCAUGUUCAUCAUUAUGA